ACAUUACACAAAUAUGAAGGCGGGCUGGAACCUCUCGGGGUUACAGCCUUGCUGAAUUAUUCACCCUUGUCUUUUGCGUACUUCUUGUUUCCUUGGUGGGUUCGCCCACCACUAGGACAAACAUAAACCUUUUGUAAUUGCAAUCAGCGUCAGUAACAAAUUAAUAAUUACAACUUUCAACAACGGAUCUCUUGGUUCUGGCAUCGAUGAAGAACGCAGCGAAAUGCGAUAAGUAGUGUGAAUUGCAGAAUUCAGUGAAUCAUCGAAUCUUUGAACGCACAUUGCGCCCUUUGGUAUUCCAAAGGGCAUGCCUGUUCGAGCGUCAUUUGUACCCUCAAGCUUUGCUUGGUGUUGGGCGUCUUGUCUCUAGCUUUGCUGGAGACUCGCCUUAAAGUAAUUGGCAGCCGGCCUACUGGUUUCGGAGCGCAGCACAAGUCGCACUCUCUAUCAGCAAAGGUCUAGCAUCCAUUAAGCCUUUUUUUCAACUUUUGACCUCGGAUCAGGUAGGGAUACCCGCUGAACUUAAGCAUAUCAAUAAGCGGAGGAAAAAAAA
rnacentral:sRNA from 1 species